rnacentral:tRNA from 1 species
UCCGGGAUGGUGUAACGGCAGCACCAGGGACUUUGGAUCCCUUAGUGAAGGUUCGAAUCCUUCUCCCGGAG